UGAAGUGAGUACAGAAGUUACUGAAUAAAAUUUUAUGUCACAUGAGAAGGAAAGAAAAUUCAAAGGUGGACAGGAAGAUGUCCCAGUAAGGAGGGGCAGAACCAUCUGGGUGCAUACUUCAGGAUCUCUUUUUUCUGAAAUCUUCCAGAACUUCAGUUCCAGCCAAGUUCUCUGAUGUCUGAAAUGCUGAAAAGUGUACUGGAGAGAGCAGAGGAUUUCCAGGGGUCUAAGAGGUAAAGAUGCCAUAGUUUUCUCUGCCCCUCUGAGUGCUAAGAAGUUAGUUGCCAUGUCUUAGCGUGGUACCAGCUGGAUUUUAACAGCUUCAGAUCAAGAUUUCUACUCAAACAGACAUUUGCAAUGUCCUUUGGGAACAUCAGGGUGAAAAAAAUGAAGUGUAAUCAUUGGCUCUUAUAAAUAGCAAUGGAGUUGAAGAGGAUCACAGACUCCAGACAGUAUGUGAAGCAUUUACAGAGGUCUGGUUUUGCUUUUGCUGGGUGAGCACCAGGACAAGCCUAAGAGCAGACAGCUCGCAGCUCUUGUAUCAGGAGCUCAGGUGCCCUGAAGGGUUGUGGAAAUCCUUCCAGUGACUUCACAAAAAGUUGGAUAGGAUCCAGAUGAUGGAGAAGAUAAUUCUAUCAGCUUUUCUUAGUGUUAGCCUGUGAAAGGUAUGUGCCUGGAAGAGAUAAAUAAUCUGGGUCAUUUUCCAUAUUAAUUUCAAAUAAACAGAGUUUACAUGGUUACGGUUAAACUGUG
rnacentral:lncRNA from 1 species